rnacentral:sRNA from 1 species
UGUUAUGGACAAUACUGGAGACACUAAAC